rnacentral:rRNA from 1 species
GCAGCGACGCCGCGUGGGGGAUGACGGCCUUCGGGUUGUAAACCUCUUUCAGCAGGGACGAAGCUAACGUGACGGUACCUGCAGAAGAAGCGCCGGCUAACUACGUGCCAGCAGCCGCGGUAAUACGUAGGGCGCAAGCGUUGUCCGGAAUUAUUGGGCGUAAAGAGCUCGUAGGCGGUUUGUCGCGUCUGUCGUGAAAGCCCACGGCUUAACCGUGGGUCUGCGGUGGAUACGGGCAGACUAGAGGCAGGUAGGGGAGAAUGGAAUUCCCGGUGUAGCGGUGAAAUGCGCAGAUAUCGGGAGGAACACCGGUGGCGAAGGCGGUUCUCUGGGCCUGUACUGACGCUGAGGGGCGAAAGCGUGGGGAGCGAACAGGAUUAGAUACCCUGGUAGUCCACGCCGUAAACGUUGGGCGCUAGGUGUGGGGUUCUUCCACGGAUUCCGCGCCGUAGCUAACGCAUUAAGCGCCCCGCCUGGGGAGUACGGCCGCAAGGCUA